GAUGGAAGAACGUAGCGAAAUGCGAUAAGUAGUGUGAAUUGCAGAAUUCAGUGAAUCAUCGAAUCUUUGAACGCACAUUGCGCCCCUUGGUAUUCCAUGGGGCAUGCCUGUUCGAGCGUCAUUUGUACCUUCAAGCUCUGCUUGGUGUUGGGUGUUUGUCUCGCCUCUGCGUGUAGACUCGCCUCAAAACAAUUGGCAGCCGGCGUAUUGAUUUCGGAGCGCAGUACAUCUCGCGCUUUGCACUCAUAACGACGACGUCCAAAAGUACAUUUUUACACUCUUGACCUCGGAUCAGGUAGGGAUACCCGCUGAACUUAAGCAUAUCAAUAAGCGGGGA
rnacentral:misc_RNA from 1 species